GACGAACGCUGGCGGCGUGCUUAACACAUGCAAGUCGAACGGAAAGGCCCUGCUUUUGUGGGGUGCUCGAGUGGCGAACGGGUGAGUAACACGUGAGUAACCUGCCCUUGACUUUGGGAUAACUUCAGGUAACUGGGGCUAAUACCGGAUAGGAGCUCCUGCUGCAUGGUGGGGGUUGGAAAGUUUCGGCGGUUGGGGAUGGACUCGCGGCUUAUCAGCUUGUUGGUGGGGUAUUGGCUUACCAAGGCUUUGACGGGUAGCCGGCCUGAGAGGGUGACCGGCCAAAUUGGGACUGAGAUACGGCCCAGACUCCUACGGGAGGCAGCAGUGGGGAAUAUUGCACAAUGGGCGGAAGCCUGAUGCAGCAACGCCGCGUGGGGGAUGACGGCCUUCGGGUUGUAAACCGCUUUCGCCUGUGACGAAGCGUGAGUGACGGUAAUGGGUAAAGAAGCACCGGCUAACUACGUG
rnacentral:rRNA from 1 species